GAUGAACGCUGGCGGCGUGCCUAAUACAUGCAAGUCGAGCGAACAGACGAGGAGCUUGCUCCUCUGACGUUAGCGGCGGACGGGUGAGUAACACGUGGAUAAACUACCUAUAAGACUGGGAUAACUUCGGGAAACCGGAGCUAAUACCGGAUAAUAUAUUGAACCGCAUGGUUCAAUAGUGAAAGACGGUUUUGCUGUCACUUAUAGAUGGAUCCGCGCCGCAUUAGCUAGUUGGUAAGGUAACGGCUUACCAAGGCGACGAUGCGUAGCCGACCUGAGAGGGUGAUCGGCCACACUGGAACUGAGACACGGUCCAGACUCCUACGGGAGGCAGCAGUAGGGAAUCUUCCGCAAUGGGCGAAAGCCUGACGGAGCAACGCCGCGUGAGUGAUGAAGGUCUUCGGAUCGUAAAACUCUGUUAUUAGGGAAGAACAAAUGUGUAAGUAACUAUGCACGUCUUGACGGUACCUAAUCAGAAAGCCACGGCUAACUACGUG
rnacentral:rRNA from 1 species